UAAAACGUAUAAUACACUUUUUCAUUUCAUGAUGAUGGUGUACUAUAACUUUUUGAUAAUUCUUCUAUUUUUACUAAGUGGUGGUCUGGCGGAUAACGCUUUUACUACUGACAUACCCAGUACAUCACCACCACCACCACCUCACGUUAAAGAUUCUCUGAAUACCAAACACACAUGGCUAAUUGCUGGUAUCAUUUUUGCACUUUUAUUCAUUGCUGGUGUGAUCACACGUGUAGUUUUGAUUGUAAGGAGAAGGCGAGGCGGGUAGCAUUGAGGAAUGUGACAACAUCUUCUACAGGAUAGAGAAUAGUCUUUAUUUGAAAUCUAAAAGAUAAAUACUUUUGUAACAUUUCAAAAUUACAACAAGUAUUGAUAUUUUAUUGUUUAACAUUUUUAUGAUCAUGAUAUAUCAUUAUGAUACUAUACAAAU